rnacentral:tRNA from 1 species
GUGGUUGUGGCUAAGUGGUAGAGAGCGCUUGCCUAGCAUGUGUGAGGUGCUGUGUUCAAUCCUCAGCACCACA